GGUUCUUGUGAUGACAUAGCAACAUUACCUUGGGACACCUAUGAUAUACCUUGAUUAGUGUAAAUUUCAAUAUCUGAUAAAU
rnacentral:snoRNA from 14 species